rnacentral:rRNA from 1 species
GACGAACGCUGGCGGCGUGCUUAACACAUGCAAGUCGAACGGAAAGGCCCUGCUUUUGUGGGGUGCUCGAGUGGCGAACGGGUGAGUAACACGUGAGUAACCUGCCCUUGACUUUGGGAUAACUUCAGGAAACUGGGGCUAAUACCGGAUAGGAGCUCCUGCUGCAUGGUGGGGGUUGGAAAGUUUCGGCGGUUGGGGAUGGACUCGCGGCUUAUCAGCUUGUUGGUGGGGUAGUGGCUUACCAAGGCUUUGACGGGUAGCCGGCCUGAGAGGGUGACCGGCCACAUUGGGACUGAGAUACGGCCCAGACUCCUACGGGAGGCAGCAGUGGGGAAUAUUGCACAAUGGGCGGAAGCCUGAUGCAGCAACGCCGCGUGCGGGAUGACGGCCUUCGGGUUGUAAACCGCUUUCGCCUGUGACGAAGCGUGAGUGACGGUAAUGGGUAAAGAAGCACCGGCUAACUACGUGCCAGCAGCCGCGGUGAUACGUAGGGUGCGAGCGUUGUCCGGAUUUAUUGGGCGUAAAGGGCUCGUAGGUGGUUGAUCGCGUCGGAAGUGUAAUCUUGGGGCUUAACCCUGAGCGUGCUUUCGAUACGGGUUGACUUGAGGAAGGUAGGGGAGAAUGGAAUUCCUGGUGGAGCGGUGGAAUGCGCAGAUAUCAGGAGGAACACCAGUGGCGAAGGCGGUUCUCUGGGCCUUUCCUGACGCUGAGGAGCGAAAGCGUGGGGAGCGAACAGGCUUAGAUACCCUGGUAGUCCACGCUGUAAACGGUGGGUACUAGGUGUGGGGUCCAUUCCACGGGUUCCGUGCCGUAGCUAGCGCUUUAAGUACCCCGCCUGGGGAGUACGGCCGCAAGGCUAAAACUCAAAGGAAUUGACGGGGCCCCGCACAAGCGGCGGAGCACGCGGAUUAAUUCGAUGCAACGCGUAGAACCUUACCUGGGUUUGACAUGGAUCGGGAGUGCUCAGAGAUGGGUGUGCCUCUUUUGGGGUCGGUUCACAGGUGGUGCAUGGCUGUCGUCAGCUCGUGUCGUGAGAUGUUGGGUUAAGUCCCGCAACGAGCGCAACCCUUGUUCACUGUUGCCAGCACGUUAUGGUGGGGACUCAGUGGAGACCGCCGGGGUCAACUCGGAGGAAGGUGGGGAUGACGUCAAGUCAUCAUGCCCCUUAUGUCCAGGGCUUCACGCAUGCUACAAUGGCUGGUACAGAGAGUGGCGAGCCUGUGAGGGUGAGCGGAUCUCGGAAAGCCGGUCUCAGUUCGGAUUGGGGUCUGCAACUCGACCUCAUGAAGUCGGAGUCGCUAGUAAUCGCAGAUCAGCAACGCUGCGGUGAAUACGUUCCCGGG